ACCGGUGACCAAUCACCAUGCCGGGAACCGGAGGCGCGACCGUCCUGGACGACCUUCCCGAGUGGGUCGUUGUCGAAGAGAUCCUCAUCCGUUUGCCGCCCAAGGACAUCCUCCGCUGCCGCGCCGUCUGCAGGUGGUGGCACGGCGCCACCUCCACCGACAAGUUCAUGCUGGACCACCACCGUCGCCAGCCCUUG